CCAGACAGCCGGAUGACCGCGGGGUGCAAGCCUCGAGGAAAGUCCGGGCUCCACGGAACACGGCGGCGGGUAACACCCGCCGGGGGCGACCCCAGGGAAAGUGCCACAGAAAAUAUACCGCUCGCAAGAGUAAGGGUGAAAUGGUGCGGUAAGAGCGCACCGCGCCUGUGGCAACACGGGCGGCAGGGCAAACCCCGCCGGGAGCAAGACCAAAUAGGGAUGGUGCGUCGUUCCGCGCUUAACCAUCCGGGUAGGUUGCGCGAGGUAUGGAGCAAUCCAUAUCCCAGAUGAAUGGUCAUCACUCCGCAAGGAGGACAAAACCCGGCUUACAGGCUGUCUGGCAUU
rnacentral:RNase_P_RNA from 1 species